rnacentral:rRNA from 1 species
UACGUAGGUCGCAAGCGUUGUCCGGAUUUACUGGGCGUAAAGCGCGCGUAGGCGGCUUUGUAAGUUUAGAGGUGAAAGCCCGGAGCUCAACUCCGGAAUUGCCUUUAAGACUGCAUCGCUAGAAUCAUGGAGAGGUGAGUGGAAUUCCGAGUGUAGAGGUGAAAUUCGUAGAUAUUCGGAAGAACACCAGUGGCGAAGGCGACUCACUGGACAUGUAUUGACGCUGAGGUGCGAAAGCGUGGGGAGCAAACAGG